rnacentral:rRNA from 1 species
CCUACGGGGGGCAGCAGUGAGGAAUAUUGGUCAAUGGACGAGAGUCUGAACCAGCCAAGUAGCGUGAAGGAUGACUGCCCUAUGGGUUGUAAACUUCUUUUAUAUGGGAAUAAAAUGUUCCACGUGUGGGAUUUUGUAUGUACCAUAUGAAUAAGGAUCGGCUAACUCCGUGCCAGCAGCCGCGGUAAUACGGAGGAUCCGAGCGUUAUCCGGAUUUAUUGGGUUUAAAGGGAGCGUAGGUGGAUUGUUAAGUCAGUUGUGAAAGUUUGCGGCUCAACCGUAAAAUUGCAGUUGAAACUGGCAGUCUUGAGUACAGUAGAGGUGGGCGGAAUGUGUGGUGUAGCGGUGAAAUGCUUAGAUAUCACGAAGAACUCCGAUUGCGAAGGCAGUUCACUGGACUGCAACUGACACUGAGGCUCGAAAGUGUGGGUAUCAAACAGGAUUAGAUACCCCUGUAGUC